GACGAACGCUGGCGGCGUGCUUAACACAUGCAAGUCGAACGGAAAGGCCCUGCUUUUGUGGGGUGCUCGAGUGGCGAACGGGUGAGUAACACGUGAGUAACCUUCCCUUUACUUUGGGAUAACUUCAGGAAACUGGGGCUAAUACCGGAUAGGAGCUCCUGCUGCAUGGUGGGGGUUGGAAAGUUUGGGCGGUUGGGGAUGGACUGGCGGGUUAUCAGCUUGUUGGUGGGGUAGUGGCUUACCAAGGCUUUGACGGGUAGCCGGCCUGGGAGGGUGACCGGCCACAUUGGGACUGAGAUACGGCCCAGACUCCUACGGGAGGCAGCAGUGGGGAAUAUUGCACAAUGGGCGGAAGCCUGAUGCAGCAACGCCGCGUGCGGGAUGAAGGCCUUCGGGUUGUAAACCGCUUUCGCCUGUGACGAAGCGUGAGUGACGGUAAUGGGUAAAGAAGCACCGGCUAACUACGUG
rnacentral:rRNA from 1 species